rnacentral:lncRNA from 1 species
CAGAAGAUUAAAAAAAUCCUAGGCACUAGAGAACCACACACAGCCGAAAACCCCUGCUUAAUCCAUUCUCCCUCACACCAAACGUCUACCACCUCACACUCACCAGAAAAACCGCCACUCCCCCUGCCACUGCAAUAGAAAGUUGAAUUCACUAAAAUCAUCACAGCUAAUUUCAUUUCUUUCCUCCUUUCAUUUGACAAAAAUCUUUAUGCUAUCUAGCAAUAUUAUGUGGAGUGAAAUUUGGCUUUACAGAACAAUUGUUUGAAAAAGUUAAGCAAGAUCGAAGAGGCGAUGAUUGGGAAUAUCUCUCGUUCUAGCUUCAAUGGUUUUUCUUUAAACACCAUAAACCUCAAAGCUUUUCCAUCUAUGGCCAUAUCAAAACCAUCACCAUUUCGGAUCAAGAAUCCAGCAAUUUCAAAGCUUCGGUUCUCUGAAUCUGAGUCGAGUUCGGUUUCCAGUCGAGAGGUGGUCCGCUCAUGGAUUUCCGGCCCGUCCAGGUGUCCUGUUUGCUGGUCUUAGUCAUUAGAGGUCCCUCGAGGUCUUCGGCCUUCUCCUGUAAAAUGCAUGGUUUGGCAUUUCAUAUAUGAUCGGGGUUUUGAAGGUUCUUCCGCACAAUUUGAGGUCCAAUUCUUUCUCUGUUACUUCAUCCUUCUUAAUUUAAUGCAUGUGUUUAUGAUUUAUAUGGCUAUGGUGAUAUGUUUUUUCUUCUUUUUGGAGUGAUAUGAAGUUGCCGUCACUUGGACAUCCUGGGGAACAUUUGACAGUCAAAUUGCUCAUAUUAAUAAAUUACCGUGAAUAGAGCAUAAUUUAUGAUAAGUUAAUCAAUUCAUGAAUUAAUUAUUUAAGUUGGAUAAAUGGGAAGUAGAUUGAUAAACUUUGGAAAAGAAAUGUUGACGAAGAACAGUGAAAUGGAUAUGGGAUCUAGAGUUGGAAGUUAAAAUAACAAAGAUUUUAGUACUAUAUUUGUAACUUUAUUUUAUUCUAUUGUCCGCUAGUGACAUUUUUAGGCCAACCACACAUGAGUAAGCAAGCUUUAGAAUUUUUGUUAGAUUUGACGCAACAUGUCAUUUCAUUAGUUAAUUUUAUCUGGGAAUGUCCCGAAGAAUUUGUAUAUAUUUUAUUCUGGGGAACACCCGUAGUAUUCUAUAAUUGGAGGCUGAAAGCAAACUCGUAGUAUUUUUAUUUU